rnacentral:tRNA from 1 species
GGGAUUGUAGUUUAUUUAUAAAACAUUUAAUUUGCAAUUAAAAAAUAUUAUUUAAUCUAUCUCA